GAUGAACGCUAGCGGCAGGCUUAACACAUGCAAGUCGAGGGGUAACAUUGUGCUUGCACAGAUGACGACCGGCGCACGGGUGCGUAACGCGUAUAGAACCUACCUUUUACAGAGGGAUAGCCUUUAGAAAUGAAGAUUAAUACCUCAUAGUAUUGAGUAUUCGCAUGAAUAUUUAAUUAAAGAUUUAUCGCUAUAAGAUGAGCCUGCGCUAGAUUAGAUAGUUGGUGGGGUAAUGGCCUACCAAGUCAAUGAUCUAUAGCUGGUCUGAGAGGACGAUCAGCCACACUGGGACUGAGACACGGCCCAG
rnacentral:rRNA from 1 species